GGCAGAGAGAGGUGAGCAAAGGCUGCGGCCGGGGCGUGAGCCUGAGUGCCGGCUAGCCUCCUGGCUGCGCGCAGAGCUGCCGGGAGGCGGGUGCGAAUGCAGGCUGAGCUCGGAAAAGCUGUGACCUGAGCCGGAGACACUUUGGGGAUGUGAUCCUGGCCCGUGCCCUGAAGGCAGUCCCAGGAGAAUAUUGCCGGCUUUAAGGGAAGUUUUCUGCAAAGUGCCUGAUGGCUGGCGUUUGGGCCAGGCUGCUCGAAGGGACUAGAUCUGAGAACAGAGUAAAGCUGCUGAAAGACGUGAAGAAAGAUAAAGAAGAGAAGGAAGUCAUUGCCAGAACGUCAGGCCAGGAAAGAGGGC